rnacentral:lncRNA from 1 species
GGCUAUUUGAAAAUCAGAGCAUCUUUUAAAAGGGAGACGGCAUCUGAACCUUGCCGAGUAGGAAUGUUCCAGAAGUAAGAGAGAUGACUAGGGUUUCAAGAACAAGGACCAGCACCUAUGAAGGCUCUGAGGCACAGACCACUGUGACCUGUGGAGAAGUGAUCUCUGCUUCUCUCCAUCUGUUGGACUCAUUCUUUCCUCACAUAGCAGAGCUUUAUUCACACUGCAGGAGACGUGGCAUGGGCAGCUCCAGGCUUCAUCAACCUAGAUUUGCAACUCCCAAG